CUGGUUCGUCUCUAGGUUUCUUCCUAGGUUUUGGCCUUUCUAGGGAGUUUUUCCUAGCCACCGUGCUUCUACACCUGCAUUGCUUGCUGUUUGGGGUUUUAGGCUGGGUUUCUGUACAGCACUUUGAGAUAUCAGCUGAUGUAAGAAGGGCUAUAUAAAUACAUUUGAUUUGAUUUAUUUUCCAUGCUACAGCAAACAAUAUUUUACAUACAUUGUGUUUUCAUUUUUGCCAGGGAAAAAUAUAAGUAUACUACAUACCGGUACUACACCACAUAAGUAUCCGGAGUGUUUUUUCUGUUCCCCUGGUUAAGUAAAGGUUAACUAUACACCUACCAUCAGCUCGGUUAAGUAAAGGUUAACUAUACACCUACCAUCAGCUCGGAUCUCAAUGGGACCGCAGGUGCAGGUGGAGGAGGUAGGGAAGUUUGUAUCAGCCAGAACUGUAACAAGACAAUGAAUUCAAAUAUAUCAAUGUAAUCUUUUUAUUGUCCUUGUUUGAGACUUCAAUCUGUAACCAGGAGUUUGAGUUGAGAGAUGAGUUGACACAUUUUUUUUUUUUUAAACAGAAGUUGCCAGAUUGAUUGGAUGGGGGAUAAACUAAAACUGUAAUGUCUUCUAUUGACUAUUGCAUUUCACCUCGCUUAGGUGGUAUAAACCUACAGCCUAGGUUUGAGGAGUUUAGAAACAAAAGCCAAUAGUGGAGGUGCAUAAAGAUGGCGGCCCUCAUGCACUUACCACAAAUUCCUAGUUUUUAAUAAGUUAGCCAUAUUGUACAUUGCUCUCGUUACCCUUUUUUGUAUGGACAUUAGCAGAUAUCACGUGCUGUAGUUUAAAAACUCAGUGUGGAUAGUGCUAAAACAAUGAUGUCAUAUUUGAAUUUUGCCAUCUUUAUGCACAUUCACCAUUACAUCAGUUGUUAGAAUGCAUUAGAUUGAAGAUAACAGUCAGUCAGAUUAGGCUACAGGUAAAACAUAUAUAAUUAACACUGACUAUUGGGAAACACAAGCACUUCUUACCUCUAAAUCGCCAAGCUAUUCAUGUUGAAUAAAUGUGUGUGUUAUUUUGAACUAUGGUAGCAGCUAAAUUGUUCAGUUCACAGCUUGCCUACAUUAUGCCUAGGCUAUUGCAGACUAUCCAAAAUAAGAUGUAGGCCUAUCAGGAGCUAAAGGCUACCUGCAUAUAUCUAAGAAAACCAUGGCAAAGUUGAAUUACAAUAAUAAACCCAGAUUUUAGUCUGUAGCCUAUGCCUAUUGAAAUGACAGGUCAAUCUCGCAAAUGGGCCAUUUAUAAAUGUUUGCAGUCUUAACAUCUGGCACAUAAUAAUGGCAGAAUUGCCAGAAAAUAGCCUAACAUUCGGGUUUUUUAAAUUUUUAUUCAUCCAAGUGUUUCUUGCUCAGAGAUUUGGACAUCCUCUGUCCAACUUUCAUCACUCAAACUCCUGUCGGAUUUAUCUAUAGUGCGCAAAAGAGAUGCAUUUACAAUUAUAAAACCGGUUUCGAGCCCUGAAUGCUGCUUGGCUAAAAGCUGUGGUAUAUCAGACCGUAUACCAUGGGUAUAACAAAACAAAAGUUACUGUUCUAAUUACGUUGGUAACCAGUUUAAGCAAUAAGGCACCCUGGGGUUUGUGGUAUCUGGCCAUUACACCCGGGCUAACGGCUGUAUAGAGGCACUCUGCAUUGCGUCACGCUUAAGAACAGCCCUUAUGGAUGUCGAUUUAACUCGUUUGACUGCAAUGAUUAAGCAAUAAGGCACAAGGGGUAAGGCAUGUGGCCAACGACUUAAAUCGUCAUCCAUUGACGGAAAAUGAUCUGGCGAGUUUAACCCGGCCAAUUAUCUUUUCUCUUGCGACAUAUUCAAAUGUCUUUAUUAUGACAUGUCAUAGUUCACAAUAAUUCAUAUUUUGAUGAAAACAGAAUUUUGCGUCUAACGUCGUUACAAGUUUGGUCGAGAUUACUUCUUAAUUGUCUCGAUAACGUUUUGGGGAAAAGGGUUUAUUGUAUACACGUGUCCGCUCCUCUCUUGCUGUCGAAAAAACUAGUUGGGUUCGUUUUCAGACCUUUUGCGCGGGUUGAGCAGUCAUUGUCUUAGAACUUGUAGCGGUACCUGGCAACCCUGAUCGGCACACUGCUUUGUUUGAAUUACAGUGCUUUGCGAUUUCGACGCAUGCCUCGGAGCUCCGGUAUCAAACAUUAACAUCACUGCUGACAACAAGAUCCAUCAAACAGAUGACGUUCACAGACCUUCACUGAACCAGCAAGUUAAUGUUCGCUCUUACGAGCGUAGCUAGCUGAUUUAUUUACCCAGUUCGUCUCCGUGGCCCAUCUUGGCCAGAGCAUACAGCAGCUCUGGCGACAGAAUGGACGGUAUUCCUUUUAGAAUAACCAUAGUAGCAGGUUCGAUAACACAGGCACUUCACAGAAGGAAAAAGACGACCAGGAAAUUACCUCCUGCAUAAGGAAAAAAUCUGCAGACAACAGGUAAAGUACUUUCAAAUGAAGUCUAUUCAACAGUAUGACUUGUG
rnacentral:lncRNA from 1 species